AUAAGGAAGGUCAAAAAGAUAAUAGAUUCAAAGUUUGGAGCAAUGAUCAUUGAGUGAGAUACAUAACCUGAAGUGAGUGUACUGUACAUAAGCACCUGCUAAAUGAAUCUGAAAAUAAUAGGCUGUUGUUUGAUUCAGACUCAAGAAUAGUCAAUCAUGCCAAAUCUGAUCAAGUGAAUUAGUACACUGCAGUGGCAAAUAUCAUCUACAAUGAGCAAGAUGAAUCCAGAUAUAGGGUUGAUUGUUUUUUUUUCUUCUUUUCCUUUGGUCUGACCCUCCUUUUAUUGAUAUAAAAUCUGCUGGAGGAUGGGCUAUGCAAAUUAAAAUGUACUUUCUGCCUUAUAAACUCUUCAUAUUUGUCUCCUUUUCAGUGUUUUGUCAUUGAGAUUUUUAACAAAAACUGCUGCAAAAAUGGUCCUCAGAAUUACUUGUUUCAUAAGCAUACUCAUCUCUAUGGACAUGUGCAAAAGUCAGACACUGACUGAGUCCGAGUCAGUCGUCCUCAAACCUGGGAACGAACAUAAACUGACCUGUACUUUCUCUGGGAUUGAAGUUGGUGAUGCAGUUAUUUCAUGGAUCAGACAGGCUGAAGGGAAAGGGCUUGAGUGGGUCUCAUUUAUUUCUGCUCCAAGCGGCAGAGACAAAUAUUACUCUAAAACUGUUGAAGGACGAUUCACCAUCUCCAGAGACAACAGUAAAAUGCAGGUGUAUCUGCACAUGACAAAUCUACAGGCUGAGGACACUGCUGUUUAUUACUGUGCCCGAAAAACACAGUAACACAAGAGGCUGCUGAGCUGUACA